CUUAUACGUUAACGCAAAGUGUGACCGAAGUGCAAGACGCGUUUAGAGUACGAUUUCCUGAUCGGAAUCCACCUAACAAAAAGACGAUUCUGAAAAACUUUCGUAAAUACCACAACACAGGAACAAGCUUAAACCGCAACAAGGGCAAUUCGGGCAGGCGAAGAACUGCUCGAAGUGAAGAAAACGUUGCUGCUGUGAGAGAUCUGCUCGAGGAAACCCCACGAGGUGUUAGCGCUCGUCGUAAUGCUGUUGAAGUUUCAAAAUCAAGUUUCAACAGGAUUACAAGAUUAGAUUUACGAUGCCAUCCUUACCGAAUGCACGUACUGAACGAGCUAUUGCCAUGCAGAUGACUUGCCACGUCGACUACACUAUGCCCAAUAGUUUAAUCAACGCUGUCGAAACCCCAAUUUUUUGCAAA